rnacentral:rRNA from 1 species
AUAACGAACGAGACUCUAGCCUGCUAAAUAGGCGACGGAUUUUCACGGGCCGCGGCGACCCCGCGGUCCUCAAACUGGCCCGGGAUGGCCGUGCUGGAUCAGGCCGUGCCGGUCGUCGGGGCAACUCGGCGGUCGGCGCGGUCCCAGUCGGUCGCCCGGGUCGCGUCCGUCGCGUCUCUUCUUAGAGGGACAAGCGGCGUCCAGCCGCGUGACAGUGAGCAAUAACAGGUCUGUGAUGCCCUUAGAUGUCCUGGGCCGCACGCGCGCUACACUGAAGGAAUCAGCGUGUUUCACCGUCCCUGUCCGAAAGGACCGGGUAACCGCUGAACCUCCUUCGUGGUUGGGAUUGGGGACUGCAAUGAUCCCCAUGAACCAGGAAUCCCUAGUAGGCGCGGGUCACUAGCCCGCGUCGAUUACGUCCCUGCCCUUUGUACACACCGCCCGUCGCUACUACCGAUUGAAUGAUUUAGUGAGGACUUCGGACGGGCUCGCCGGGGACUGGCUGGUCGGAGGCAACUCCGGCCCGACGGUCCUACUCACGGCGAGACUGAAAGAUGUUCGAACUUGAUCCUUUAGAGGAAGUAAAAGU